GAGCGAGCAUAUUUGGUGUGACGGGGAUUCGAACCCGCGACCCUCAGAUUGCGACUCGGGCGACCUAACCACCUGGCCAUGCAGGGGCCGUUUUUGCAU